rnacentral:rRNA from 1 species
ACGCUGGCGGCAGGCCUAACACAUGCAAGUCGAACGGUAACAGGAAGAAGCUUGCUUCUUUGCUGACGAGUGGCGGACGGGUGAGUAAUGUCUGGGAAACUGCCUGAUGGAGGGGGAUAACUACUGGAAACGGUAGCUAAUACCGCAUAACGUCGCAAGACCAAAGAGGGGGACCUUCGGGCCUCUUGCCAUCGGAUGUGCCCAGAUGGGAUUAGCUAGUAGGUGGGGUAACGGCUCACCUAGGCGACGAUCCCUAGCUGGUCUGAGAGGAUGACCAGCCACACUGGAACUGAGACACGG